UGGUGGCGGCGGCGGCCAUUUUUUAGCACAAGCGUGAGGCGGGCAUAGCUAUUUUGGCACAUGUGCUCUGGUCGUGGUGGCCAUUUUCACUCAUUCAGGGUGGCAGCCGCCAUUUUCGCAUUUCCAAGGCUGCACGGGGCUUUCUCACCGGGGGCAGCGACGCCCCGCGUCGUGCACACGCUGCGGUCCCGCCCCUCCUGCCGGCACGCAGGGCAGUGGAGCCCCAUCUCUCGCGUGCGCGGUGGUACCGCUGUCAAGCGCCACACCGCAGUGGCGCCCCGCCUCACGCAGGCACGCGUCGACCCCAGGCAGUUCCACACAGCUCGGGCGUGCCUGCCUGUCUUACUAAGGCGCCGCAGCCCCGCCUCCUGCCUCACGUAUUAGGGCAAAGACCAGCAGCAGAAUCGAGUUGCUGGUUUCUCAAGGGACACCUCUGAGUCACAACAGCAAGACCAGUGACUGUCUCAAGGAUGAAGCUGGGGUUCGCUCACCUUCCUCAGAGGAAUCCAUCACACAGAAUGAAAGGCAGUUUUGCAGGUUCCUGCUGAUGUGUGUUGGAGAGAGAAGCCUCAGGCAGGUGCUGAGGAGGCGGGACCGGGCAGCUCGAGGAGACAGACGUUUCUCGUCCCGGAGGCCCUGGCGCGUGCCGUGCACUUCCUGGCUCUGAACAGGACGUGAAGGGACACAGGGGCGGCUCUCACUGUCUGCUUCCCACUUCCUUUGUUUUGUGCCCACCGGGGAACACUUCUCAACUCGCAACCUCCUGGAAAGGACAGCAGGUUAGGGUGGCCUGUCUGCUGGAGGACCCCCGUGAGAGCCCGUGGCAAGCUUUUCCCUGUCUUUUCAAACUCCACAAUCAUUUUAAGAUUGGAUCACUCUAGAGGCACCAAAGUCAAACUUAUUGCAACUCAGCUGUUACUAGAUGUUCACAGAAUAAGAGAGAAAAACAGCAGAAAUAAAAGCUAGUAUGUUAAUGUGAGCAAACAGACUCACUUUGAUAGGAAAAGUUACGGCUCCGGUUAUAUCAUCACUGAAACUCUUAAAACAUAAAUAAAUGCACUAAGUCUCCUUGCGUGGAUCAAGGUAUGAGAUCAUCUAUUUUUGCUUCCUGUUUCUUGUUCACAGUUAGAGGGAUAUCAUCAUCAUCAUCAUCAUCAUCAGUUUGGAAUUAUCUGAAUAGCCGACCGAGAGAGACCUCGGGGAGCAUUUACAUAUCCAAUUACAACAGGGUGAAUCUUCAUCCCGUGAAAACUGCCUUGCACAUAAAAACGCCUGACCUCGCUGAAAGUUCUUAGUAAUAAAGCUCCACACUGGCAUGGUGCUCUUAAUGUUUCAAAAGA